UUGGAGGGCAAGUCUGGUGCCAGCAGCCGCGGUAAUUCCAGCUCCAAUAGCGUAUAUUAAAGUUGUUGCAGUUAAAAAGCUCGUAGUUGAAUUUCGGGAUUAACGUGACGGUCGUGCCUUAAGGGGUAUGAACUGUUACAGUUAAUUUCUCACCUUCUGGAGAAAUAUGAUGUCCUUAAUUGGGUGUCAUAUGGAACCAGGACUUUUACCUUGAAAAAAUUAGAGUGUUUAAAGCAAGCUUAUUGCUCGAAUACAUUAGCAUGGAAUAAUAAAAUAGGACGGCUUGAUUCUAUUUUGUUGGUUUCUAGGAUCACCGUAAUGAUUAAUAGGGAUAGUUGGGGGCAUUAGUAUUCAAUUGUCAGAGGUGAAAUUCUUGGAUUUAUUGAAGACUAACUACUGCGAAAGCAUUUGCCAAGGAUGUUUUCAUUAAUCAAGAACGAAAGUUAGGGGAUCGAAGACGAUCAGAUACCGUCGUAGUCUUAACCAUAAACUAUGCCGACUAGGAAUCAGACGAUGUUAAUUUUUUUAAUGACUCGUUC
rnacentral:rRNA from 1 species